rnacentral:rRNA from 1 species
UGGGGAAUAUUGCACAAUGGGCGCAAGCCUGAUGCAGCCAUGCCGCGUGUAUGAAGAAGGCCUUCGGGUUGUAAAGUACUUUCAGCGGGGAGGAAGGUGUUGUGGUUAAUAACCACAGCAAUUGACGUUACCCGCAGAAGAAGCACCGGCUAACUCCGUGCCAGCAGCCGCGGUAAUACGGAGGGUGCAAGCGUUAAUCGGAAUUACUGGGCGUAAAGCGCACGCAGGCGGUCGGUCAAGUCGGAUGUGAAAUCCCCGGGCUCAACCUGGGAACUGCAUCCGAAACUGGCAGGCUUGAGUCUUGUAGAGGGGGGUAGAAUUCCAGGUGUAGCGGUGAAAUGCGUAGAGAUCUGGAGGAAUACCGGUGGCGAAGGCGGCCCCCUGGACAAAGACUGACGCUCAGGUGCGAAAGCGUGGGGAGCAAACA